rnacentral:rRNA from 1 species
GGAUUAGAUACCCUGGUAGUCCACGCUGUAAACGAUGGGCACUAGGUGUGGGGGGUGUCGACUCCCUCCGUGCCGAAGCUAACGCAUUAAGUGCCCCGCCUGGGGAGUACGGCCGCAAGGCUAAAACUCAAAGGAAUUGACGGGGGCCCGCACAAGCAGCGGAGCAUGUGGUUUAAUUCGACGCAACGCGAAGAACCUUACCUGGGCUUGACAUGUUCCUGAUCUCCCUGGAAACAGGGCUUCCCUUCGGGGCAGGAUCACAGGUGGUGCAUGGCUGUCGUCAGCUCGUGUUG